UACGGAAGGUGCAAGCAUUAAUCGGAAUAAUUGGGCGUAAAGGGCGCGUAGGCGGCCCGCUAAGUCGAACGUGAAAUCCCCAGGCUCAACCUGGGAACUGCGUCCGAUACUGGCAGGCUUGAAUCCGGGAGAGGGAUGUGGAAUUCCAGGUGUAGCGGUGAAAUGCGUAGAUAUCUGGAGGAACACCGGUGGCGAAGGCGGCAUCCUGGACCGGUAUUGACGCUGAGGCGCGAAAGCUAGGGGAGCAAACGGGG
rnacentral:rRNA from 1 species